UUAUUAUUAUUAUUAGGCCUUUCCACUUUUCUGUGGAAAGCCUAUUGUUUUUCUUCUGAUUAUUUUUUUUUUUUUCCGCCUAAUUUUGUUCUUGCGAUAAACAUUUGUUUCGCAAUAUGUCGCUUUGAUAUUUGGUAUAUGAUAUCGAACAGUUUAUGCGCUUUUGAAAUUUACCUGCGUAACCGAAUACUUUUCUUUGUAGGAGUUAUCUCCCCAAACACUGUUUUCCUUGUGCUCACAACUCCUUUGCAACCGUAAAAGAUAACGACAAAUUUAUUUUACAAA
rnacentral:lncRNA from 1 species